AACGUAGGACGCAAGCGUUAUCCGGAAUUACUGGGCGUAAAGCGUGCGUAGACGGUUGCGUAAGUCAGAUGUGAAAGCCCCGGGCUCAACCUGGGAAUUGCAUUUGAGACUGCGUAGCUAGGGUGCGGAAGAGGGAAGCGGAAUUUCCGGUGUAGCGGUGAAAUGCGUAGAUAUCGGAAGGAACACCAGUGGCGAAAAGCGGCUUCCUGGUCCAGCACCGACGUUCAGGCACGAAAGCGUGGGGAGCAAACAGG
rnacentral:rRNA from 1 species